ACUCAAUCCAAGCUGAGUUCUCUUCCUUUUUUCCCUUUAGGAUUUCAUCACUGAUACUCUGAACCCUCGUGCUCAUUAUUAUGUGGGGCUGUCGGAUACAGAGGGCCAUGGAAAAUGGCAGUGGGUUGAUCAGACACCAUUCAAUCAGAAUGCCACAUCCUGGCACGCAGACGAACCCAGUGGCAACAAGGGAUUUUGUGUUGUGCUAAGUUACCAUCCAAACCUUAAAGGAUGGGGCUGGAGUGUCGCCCCUUGUGACGGUUAUCACAGGCUGGUUUGCAAGAUGAGGCAGCUCUACGUAUGAAUGAAGAAUUCUCUACAGACACAUGGACUGGAAUCCAUAAUUACAGAGACAGCUAGGAAGUUCUUCAUUUAGACUUCUCAGGGAUCAAACAAGGAAUUGGAAUUGUACCAGCAGGCCAGCUUCUUAGACAAUCCCCCUCCCCCCAGCUGUCUCUGUGUCUGUCUCUGUCUCUCUGUCUUUCUCUGUCUGUCUGUCUCUCUGUCUCUCUCUCUCUGUGUCUUUGGAGUCAGGGUCUCACUAUGUACCUCUCGCUGUCCUAGAACUCACUAUAUAGCCAAGCCUGGCUUCAAAUUCCCAGAGAUCCUCUUGCCUUUGUUUCCCGAGUGCUGGAAUUAAAGGCAUGUGCCACCACCACCCAGCUUCUUAGUAAAUUCUUUAUGUGUAAGAGAUGUCUGCAGAUCACUUUUGUACAUGUCCAUUCAUUUCCUCAUUCAUAAGGCAAGCAUAACAGAUACUCUGCUAGAGAUCCCUUAGUGCACACACAGAAAGCACAUCUCCUAACAUCUGUCUAAUGGCAGAGGUUUUAGUCACUGAUUGGAUGAUGUGGUUCCCCCCCCCCCCACCAUAUACCAAGAAAUGAUUACAGGUUACUUAACCCAGUACUGAAGACAGUGUCCAUUUGUCUGUUUGUUUGUGUAAUAAGAGUGCUUAAGGCCUGCUUUUUUUCCCCUUUUCUCCACCUUUAUUAAAUUGGUUAUUUCUUA
rnacentral:lncRNA from 1 species